rnacentral:lncRNA from 1 species
UGCUAUCCCCAUACUCUGGACCCCUGCCUGAUGAAUACAUUAAGCUGACACCUGAGACACUGAUUCACCAAUUAACAAACUUCAGGCAUGUUGUUAAUGAUAGAACCUUCAUGACAGUGAUCCAGAGUUCCAGAUUCUAGAGUAUUCAGAGGUGGAAAUUCAUAGUCCAUGCUCAAGAUCGAAUGGCAUCUCUCAGACUGGAAGACCUUUCUGAAGUCAGUUCCAGACAUCCCUGGAAGGCUGGAUAAUUUGGGAAAAGGCUGACUCAAUGUAAGAGGAAGAAACUAAAAUCGAGAGAGGUUAAUAAUUGUGCCCGAGGCUACACAGCUACUAAGCAAACCAGAUCUAUGCUCAAAGCCCAUGCAGGACUGUAACCACGGUGCAAGAUCAAUCCUCCUGCUUGGAGAACUGAUCCAACUCCACACCUGUAUCUUCAGGUUGGACUCGCUUCUUCAACCCAUGUACAUGUCCAGUAUUCCUUCAUCAUUGACAAAUACCUUCCUUUGACUUUACUGAUUCUCUGACUACCACCUUUUCAAUGAAGAAAGACUUCCCUGGCCAGGUGCCAUCCCUCGGUGCUUCCACGGUUACUGACGCGUGUAUUCUCCACAGCAAUUACAACUGGAUCAAAAUCAUGGAUCUACAUGCCCAUUUCACCCACUAGACUGUGACGUCAGAGUCGGUGACAUUGCCUUCAACAUCUCCGUAUGCUCAUUACCCAGGGUGGUGCUUUCUACAGAAGGUCCUCAAUCCAUCCUCCUUGAAAUGAAUGGAAACCAACCGGCAUGUGUAAUGAAUGGUUCCAAAAGAGAAUGCUCUAGGAGUGCAGCUUGGGAUGCUAGGAACACACUCCGGUCUGGAGCCCAGCUCACUCCCUGGUUCAUGGUGGAUGUCCAAAAAUAGGCAUGAAAACGAGUGAAGCGAGAAUAUGUACUUCUCAAUUCUCAAGUUAUUAUUGGUGACACCCACCACCUAGUACCAGAUCUCAGGAGGCUGAGAUGGAAAGUUAUGGGAAACUUUGUACCUCUUGCCAGUUGAAUUCAUGACACCCAAUUUUAAAUCUUUUUUCGGCCCCAAAUUUGCCCACAUGACCUAUUUCUAUUGUAACUGCCACUGGAACUUUUGACCAGGGUAAAUCUUGUGCCUUCUUCCAGUGCCUCCUGCUCCCCUCAUCAGUCCCCAUCUGUCCUCUAACCAUGCUGACUUCUGUCCAAACUGCUUCUGGACUGGCCCUGGCAUAGACCUGCAUUAGAGAUGCAAGGCAGCAAGGUGUUUAUUUAUUUAGUUAGUUAGGAAAACAGAACAAAUUCUGGGAUGUAAUGAGAAAUGACAUACACAUAAGAGGCUUAUGACCAAAAUACGUUAAUACUCAUUGCAAAAGAAGUUCUACUUUUUAGCUUUACAUUUGAAGGCUUUAAAAAUAUGUCUGAGAGUGCUAUAGAGAGUUAUACUUUCUUCCUCCCCAUGUGACCUAAACCUCCAAUUCAGCUGCUUAAAUAGCUGACACCGACCCUAAAAUGGAAAGCUCAUAUUACAGAGGAGAAAUAUG